CGUCCGCACACGCGCCGCCAGGCGGACGCCCCUCAGCCGGCGGGGCACCGGCACGCCGCCCCGUCACGCAGCGCGGGGCCGGGGAGGGCGCUCUCCGAACGGCGGCCCAGGGCAGAGGCACGCGGGCAGAACCGCAGAGCGGCCCCGGAGCUCCCCGCGACUCCCACCGGGCCGGGCCCGCGCCGCCAAGCUGACAGGGGCCGCCCGCACCCGGCCGAGCCGCCCGCCCCGCGGUGCGGCAACAAAGGGACGGCGGCAAGCGGGCGGCGCCGCGCCGAGACGAUGCUCCUCCGCGUGAGGGAGGCGCGGCGGGCACCGCGCAGCGCGGCACGGCCACGGCCGUACGGCGGGAACGGACCGCGGGGGCGGCCGGCCCGCACCCACCCGCUCUCGCGGACCGCCGGGCAGCGGCCGUCCCACAGCGCAGCCCCGACGAGAAAGCCCGGCCCGGCUGGACUCCUCCGCCGCGCGGCCCCCACCCUCCGUCCCGCCCGCGCUCACCUGGGGCCCGGCGGCCCGUCCGCGCGCCGGCUGCGGGGCGUGAGGAGAAGAUGGCGGCAGGCCUCGCUGCGGGGCGGGCCCGGGGCCGCGCUCGGUCGGCCGGGGUCUCGCUGUCGCUCGGCGCUGCGACCGUCGCCCUCCCUCUCGUCCGCCGCCCGGCCCCCAGGACCCUCCCCGCGCCGGGGCGGGGUGCCCGUUCGCCGCCUGAGUGCAAGCGAGAAAGGACGGCCCGGCUGGGCGUCGCCGCGGGGGCGGGGAGCGGCCGGUGGCGGCGGGGCGGGGCCGCGCUUUGUUAGCGGCGGGGCGAGCACCCUCCCGCCCACGGGCCGCAGCGGGUGGCGGCGGUGCCCGGACGAGCGCCGAGGGAACCGCGGACGGGGCGGGGUCGGGCGGCGGAGCUGCGGCGGCUGCAGCUGCCGGGCCGGCAAGUGCGGGCUCGUCGACGUUCCCCGCCCAGCGCGGCGGCUCCAGGCGCGUCCCUGUGAGCGGCCUGCCCCGAGGCCUGCCCUUGGCUCGCGGCGCCUCUGAGGGCGGCGGGAACCGCCUCGGCUUCUCUGAGGAGGUCGUGUGGCGCGCGCGGCCGAGCGCCCAUCUGAGGGACGGCGCCGAGCGGCGGGAACGGGGCUGCGCGCCGCUGUCACUGCUCGUCUCCACAGCCUGGUGCCAGCUCCGUCCAGGGCCGCAUUGGUGGAAAAAUGUGUAUUUUUCACGAAACAUCAGAUGUAUAAAUGCUGUAUAUGAGAUACAGAGAUGCAUUUUCAUAUGUUUUGACAUUCGGUUAAAUUUAAUGCAUCUUUGUAAUUCUCAGAAGACAGCCGCUAAGAGUGAUGUGAACGCUGAACAUGUUUUCUGUGUUCAGACACUGAAGGGAGAUGACAUUCAGCAAACCGUGUUACAGUGCCAGUGCUCCGCAUGGACAAAACUCCGGUAUGUACACAGCACUGCAUGGGCAAGCCCUGUGGAAAUGGAGGAUGACAGCAUUCUAACAGAGGAAGUGGCAGAGACCCGAUUCGGUUUUAAUUACGUGUGUGAUGCGUGACAGGUUGCCAGGGAACAGUCUGGAUUCUCUCACAUUGAUGGCUAAAAAUGCUAAGGAGCGCAGUGCAUUGAUUCAGCUUGCAAAUUGUUUUGUUAAGAAUCAGCCGAUAGGCAGCUGGGAAACGUUCUGAUAAUAUUGUUCUCUUUCUUCUUUCUGCAAGGAAUGCGCAGAGGUGUCCUGCAGUCGGGCCCGUGAGAAGCAAUUUGGGCACGGUGCCACCUGGCUGAGCAGCAGUGACUCCGCAGCAGACGAGCCAGGACUGGAAGCUGCCGGCUCCUUCUGCAGCACCCAGGUCCCAACUGCACAUCCUGGGAAGCUGGCUGGGUUCUCUAGCUAAAACACUGACCCCUUCCUCCUGCUGCAAAGGCUAUCGCUUCUUGCUUGAUUACAUCCAGAGGCAAAAGAUUAAUAGAAGAUGUCAUUAUAGAAAUGGAACUGUUUUCUAAUAGAAGUGAGGAGAAUAGCAACAGUAGAAAGUGAAGAAAGGGAUGUCAUGUCCCAUUUCUGCACAACUCCUUGCUCUGCAGUCCAGCACAACACACAUAGAAAGAACUAACUGGACUACGGGGUUGUAUCAGUUGACUUGAAAUUGUGAAACUCACCUCUGAAGAGAACAGGAUAACCAUAUAGACUGGAAGAAGGUAACAAGAAGCCUAAUUACUCAUUAGCCUGGUUCAAAUAACAUUUAAAAGCUAAAUUAUAUCUGAAAGACAGCAAUACAAAAAGGAGAAAAAAAUUUGCACACUUCCUAACAAUUCCACAUUGCUGAAAUACCAAAUGAAGAGAACGAUUAAGCAUGGAUGUGAACUUGGUAUAGUUUCCAUUUUUGUUUAGGUGUGAGCACGAGAAGAAAUAAAACCACAUUUGGUGCCAUGCUUUUAUUUAAACGAAAGGAAAAAACUACAACGGUACCACAUAAGAGGCAAUGACAAUAUUUUACAGCACAGCAUUUGAAAAAAUAUGGAAGCUAUGCUCCAUAGAAGUGGACAAGUAAGCACACAAUACACUGUACAUUUUUCAACAGUGCCCAUUAAAUCAAUUAAAUAGCUGAAUUUGGCUUUAAACAGCCAAAUAAUAAAAACUAACAGUCAUCCUAAAAUAAAAUAAAACUCAGUAGCUGUUGUGACUGUUAGAAUAUGAAAAUUUGCUCCAAAAACUGACAUGACAGUUUGGCAAUUCAGUCAUAGCAAUAGUAAUACCCCUGAUGAAAGCACCAGUGUGUUCUGAAAAGGUCAGUGAGAAAUACUGGCCUUCAUGGAAAGCUUCCUUAUUAUUCUCAUGUUUUCAUUUUAAUAGUUUCAUUUUUUUUUUCAACAUGAACCCAACCAUAGGCCCACCCUAAUUAGAAAAUUUGCAGGCUUAAAAAGGAAAAGCAUAUCUAGCUUGACUUUUCCUGUAUUAAGUAAAACUUUAUACUGCAAGCAAUUAACUUUUCAACUGCAUUAUUCACAAUCUACUUUUCAACAUUGCACAAAUCUUUCCCCUGUUGACAAGUGUAAAUUUCAUUAUUACAUUCAGAUACAUCUCAAACGAAUCAAAUAAUUCCUGUUAUGUACUUAAGCUCACUUGGAUUAGAUCGAUGCAUGUGCCUUUAUGGUGUUGCAGAUUACCAGCUAAAUCACAGUACACGUUUUAGAAACAAAAAUCCUCCCAUUAUGAAACUUCUUGUGAAGUUCUUCGACAUGUGUUAGAGUUGAUUCCAGCCUUCUGGUUUCUUCUAUCACUGUAUAUGAUACACUAUUUCAUACGGUUAUUCAAGAUAUUCCUACAAUGGUAGUUGUAGGAACUGUCUAACAGGCAGAAUGUGCAAACCCUCUUGCCCCCAUUUAAUAUUAUUUAUAGCUAUAUACACAAUAUGUAUACACUUGAAAUAUAAGAGUUACAUAUCCUGGUGAUAUACAUGCAAACAAUAGGAAUCUGCUAACCACAAAUAAUUUUGAGCCACAAACAUAUUAAACAUAUAUUUUAAAGUGUUUUUUCUUUUUUUUUCUUUUUUACAGAUUUAACAAAUAUACAUAAAUAUAAGAACAUAAAUUACAGUAAAACUGACAGCAUUUUUGAGAAAAUAUUUGUAACCCAGAUGCAUUGAUGCCUAAGGCUUUAUAAUAAUUUAAAAAAGUACUGUUCUAAACUGUUUAAUGGUAUCUCAUUCAGGUGCAUCUUUAUAUAAGUAAAAGAGUACAUCAUUGUAGUGAGGCAUUGUUUCUCUCAAAGCACUUCAAUGAGAGAAAUACAAACUUAAUUUUAGUGUCCCUACGAAAGAGAAUGGAGUACACACUUAUAGCACAACACUGUCUUACGUUAAUAUGGUUGUCGCAACACUGAAACAGAACAGAAUCACAAAUCAUUCAAGUCUUUUCCUGAGAAUGAGAUUUUUUUCCCCCAACAAAUCCUCUGGUGUACAUUAUCAAAAUAGCCACAGAUUCAGGGGAGGCUUCAAGUUUGUAGUUUGGUUUGGUUUUUUUUUUUUUCAGAACAGUGCUAUGCUAAAAGCAAAUUAUAGGAGAAACACUGAAAUGGAAUCUGUGAAAUAAUCAAACACUGUUUUGAAACAAAAUGCAGCCCUUUGUAAAUAAUACUGAAAUAUGCUUAAAGAUUAUUUUUGUAAAGGGUUAUAUUAUCAAUUUAUUGAAAUGUACCCUCAGGCCAUUUCUGCCGUUUGUGUUUAUAACUGUUAAGUGUCACAAGCCGUCAUCUGAUAGCUCACAUCAAGAAAAGAAUUUAUCAAGACACUGAAAUUUCUGAAAUCAGUUGUCUAUGCCCUGGAAAACUGAUCUGAAGGCAGGAAGGAUGAGCAGCGGCCUAAACAUUAAGAUCAGUGGGAAUUAGAUAUGGUGUCUCAGUGCGUUCUGUGAUUCUUCCGAAUAUUUUUAGUGUUCCGUCAGGCCAAUAUCGGGGAUCUAGUUCUGAUCGUUUCAUGAGCUUUUAGUCCUCUCAUGGAGACACAGUAGCUGACUGUGUACUCUCUCUUGAUCUGCAACAAUGCAAAAUAAUGCACAUCUGCUUAAACCCGUUUAGAGGUCUGCCAAAUCUUUUUGCUCUGCAUUUUAAUAGGAUUAUGAACAUGCACGUAGUCAGUCAUUGUAUCUCAGAUGAUAACUUCCUAGGACAGGAAUAAUUCCUUUAUUCAACUACACCCUGACUUGCUGAAUAAUUAAUUUGAAGGGAAUUUUAAAACAACUCAAGAAUUUUUGCUUUACUGUUUAGUCUAUAAGCAAAUCAGUACUAUUUAAUUGAAACAGAAUUCUAAUUAGGAGAAUGAGCUGAUUUUAUUACAGUACUCAAUAAGGAUUUUGCGCAACAGACCCAUUUGGCUGUUUUUCUCCAACAUAUAACAUUGUUGAAUCUUUAGUGUAAGAGUCAAUAAGCAAAAGUUCCAUGGUACUGAGUAUAUUAGGAAGUAUUUCUCUCUCUGAAGAGAAAGAACAGUUUCAAGACGAGCACAAAAACAUAUAAGGCAACGGAUGUAAAAAAAAAUGUAGCUUGAUUCACUAAAGAUGAACAUUCAGUGCUUCAGUGUAUCCAAACAAAAUACAGAGCAGACAUACUCUAUAUAUUGUAUUAGCACAUACAGAUCUCCACACAAGUCAAACAUUUCCAUAAUCACUCAAAGUAUUCACUUAAGCAACAAUCUUCUGCACUCCUAAACACUGUGUUUACAUUCCAGUUGGACAUGAUAAUAGAACUUGGUGUCCAGUUAUAAGUUCUAAGAGUCUUGUUGGCAACUAGAGAUCUAUUUCCUAUAGGCAGUAAAGAUGAAGUGCAAGUUUAUCAUAAUUGUCUGAAGCGAAAUCUCUCCCAUCUACUAUGCCUUGGUUGGUAAAAGUUUCUUCGGAGUUACUGGUCUCUUGGUUUGCCACAGAUGGCUGUGAAUGGUAAUUGCAUCAACACUGGCAGACAAAGUUUUAGCAGGUAUGUGGCUAAACUGCUUCCUGUCAGAGUUGUAUUUAUACAGUCCCUCAAUCAUUUUCUUUGUGAUAGAUUUGGGACCUAUCCCUGUCAAUUUAUUAAUUUCUUCAGUAUCAGGGCAGUAUGUAUACAGAGAUCUGAACUGGCAGCCUGAAUCCCGGAACAAGAUUAAGAAAUUAUUGGCAUCAGAUUUCUCCAUUUCCUUUAAAAAAAAAAAAGAAAGUCACAUUAUGAAGUUUGCACAUUCAGAAUUAUCACUGUCAUUUUGAAUUUCUUUUCUAUCAGAGCUGAAACUUCUGUGCAACUCUUUCUGUUGAAACACCUUAUUUUCAAUCAUUAUAGUUUUCUAAGCAAGUUUAGUAACAGGAAAUAUACAUGUGUCCAGAUGUGCCCAAAAGAUCUGCCAGUGCUAAAAUGGGUUUCAGUCAUCCCUAAAUGCAUUGAAGACUGGUCAAAUUACUAAGUCAGUUGUUACAUAGGGAGCAAAGGUUCUCUGUUAGCUGAAAUCUUCAGAUUCCGACUCCACCCGGCAGAAAUUCUAUCAGAUGUGCAUUCUAUCAGUAUGUAUGCUGCGCCUUGGAGGUAAGCUUGACUGCUUUACAGCUGUUCUUUCCUGAGGUUUCUAGGGGUUAUUUUGCUCUCCUACUUGAACUGAAGGAGUCUGUAUUGACUUCUCAUUUGCUCUUUCCAAGAAGUAGCUUUAGUUGUAGGGGUAUCAAUAGGAGGAUCCUUAUGAAUAAAAUGAAUUUUUUUCUUGUUGCCAAAAGCAGGUGUGUGAGCAAAUGGUAACUAUCUUCAUGCUAAAGCUCCCACAUUAAACAGAUAGUAGCUAUUAGUUAAUUAACAUGCUUUUUAAUUAAUUCAGCUUCCCAUGUUGCACGUUCAGUGUGAUAAGCUGUUCUUUCUGUAGCACUAGAGAACCUUUCUUCUCACAGGGCAAACAGCCACAGAAAGUACUCAAACCUUUUUCUAAGAGCUGAUGUCAUUUCAGAAUAAGAUUCCUUUCAAUACUUGCAUUUAUACUCAAGUGUCUUCCUAGCAUGUUAGUCAUGGUUUGACAUAAGCAUUUAUGCUUUAGAGGAAAAAUGCCCUUACCUCCAGUAUCUUUUUCUUUUGACCUUCAUUCACUUUUCCAGCCAAGCAGCAGUGUGCCAGAGCAUUCUGAAUUAUAUACUUAUUGGAUUUAGCACUGGGCUCUUUGAAAAGCUUUGGUCCUGUGGGGGAAGAAUGACAAGUCAGCUAAGUUUAAUCAAUAACCCAGCAAAGAGUUAAUUUAAAUACUGUGAAGUACUUUUGCUACUAAUCUUUUACAUGCGUGAAAACAUAAAUCCAGGAGUAAUUAGAAUUAGUCUAGAGUUCACAAAUUUUACAAACAAGUUUAAUGCCAUUCUUUCUUUACUAAUAAAUGUUUGCCAUCGCAAAUAGAGCUACACCGGCCCAGCAGUCAAACAUGAACUCCCUAACAGCUGACAUCAAAAACUUAGUGUUAUUUUACUAUUUACCAUACAAUGUGAUAUUUGGUGGGCAAAAACAGUCUUUAUAGUGAUGGUGGUGCAAGGUCUUCGCAUUAUCAUACGGUAUACGUUUGCAGAAAAUGGAUGAAUACACCAUUAUUUUUUGAUUCAUAAUAUAGUAAGGAAUUGGAAGGCAGACUGAAGUUUUUAAUAAACCACAAAGGAUCUGUUUGGAAACAAGGGCCCAGAAUAUUUAAAUUCACAUCACUAGGAAAACUGUUUUCCUGUUGCAAUUUUGUUUUUGCUUUUUGUCACACUACUCUAAAUUGAGCUUAAAUUUCACCUCUUCUUGCCUCACUAGACAGAUUGAAAUGCACAGAGUAACUUCUGAGUCCACCCGCUGUUAUGAGCCUAACUGUAGUUUACAAAUGCUACCGAGUCACUACCUUUAUUUUGAACUUAAUUUUCAUCUUGUAUUAUAACCAUGUUUUAGAUAGUUUCAUUGCUGGGGUUACAGCAACAAAAACCUCACAAAGCCUUACAAAGUUUUAAGAUUCCAAACAUAGAUAAUCAAAGCAUUUUCAUGCAUAGAACCACUAAUAAACAGGUACUUUUCUGAAUAUUGUUGUCACUGACCUGUAUAUUCUGUAGCAGAGGCAACUGAAGAAGUUGUAGAUGCAUUUUCCCAAUCUUUUUCACCAUUACGACUACCACAGCGACUUGGAGAUAAGAAACCUUCC
rnacentral:lncRNA from 1 species